rnacentral:lncRNA from 1 species
GUUGAGGGGGUCAGCGUCGGACAGGAAGGGUCUCCCUUCAGAAGAGGAUAAGAAGAGGAAGCGUGACCGGGAAAGCCCGACAGUCUGGAGUCAACGUCGCCGACGGGGACAAAAGAGGAGAUUAAUCCGUAGAUUCAACUGGAAUUUCCGCAUCAAAAGGGACGGCUCUCAUCCAUCUGUAUGGGGAAAAGAAUCUCCAGCCGACGACCCCAAUUUCCUCGAGCACAGGUUGGCCCAGCGCUAGGAUCUCGCCAAGUGGGCUGCCGUCCUUGAAUGAUCCAGAAGGGACGGCCCCAUUCCAGAAGAUGGAUUGACUUCCUCCAUCUCCCUCAUCAUAAUCAAAAGGAAUCAGUAAUGGGCAAGGAGAGGCGGGGAAGCCUCCGGGAGUUGUAUAUUUGUGCCUAGAGAGAGAAAGCAGAAGAAGAGUUGAAUCCUUACGCAGGGGAGGAAGAAGAGGUGAUGUUGCUGCUGGAUUUCGCCCUCUGGAUCAUCCCUUUCACUCUCGUCGUCGCGCCAUGCCGGAGGCUCACGUUUCUGCUCGCCCAGCUCCAGCAGAUUCAGGAGAGCAUGAGCAGCCCCCGCCACGGGAUUCCCAGUUUCUGGAGCUUUCUGGCGAGGUCUCAACUGUGAAUCGCCGGCUUCGUCCGGCGCCUGGAAUUUUUUCUGUAAGGAUGAAUCAUACUUCUGAGAAAAUUAAUUCGAAUUCAGUCCCACGGGAUCGCAUCCUUCAUCUGAUUUUUUCGGUUCUUUUUUCCCUCCUCCAGGUUCAGGAAAGCGAUCACCUCGAUGAAUCGGAUUCAUAUGGAGAACGCCGCUGCCAGCUCUUCCUCCUGUGAUGUUUAUUUGUGAAUUAUUCGGUUCUCCACCCAAACUGUACAAGGAAAAAAAAUGAAAGAAAGGUCAGUCUUCUGUGUAUAAGGAAAAAAAAGAUAAAUCAUACAGUGUUUCGUGUAUACAUUUCCUGAAGGAGAAAUGUUCUUGUGAUUGCCACGAUAUGAGCGUCAAUCAUUUCCAUUUCUGUCCAAUUUGAAUCAUUCGUAUAUGAACAGGCACAGCGUGCAAUCAAAGGCACAAGCUCUGCUCGGGGCGCGGCAUUUCAUCCCCCAAUUUUCUGGAAACUUUCUUUUUUGCCUCCGGUCUCGAGUCAACAUCGACGGUGAAAUAAUCGACGAAGAGAGAUUAUAUGAUAUUCACCAAACCAUUUCAGUUCCGUCAUGCGAUAGAAAAUGUAUGGCAUAAUUUAGUUGCUAUUCCCUCAUUCAAAAUCAACAUUGAAAUGAGAGAAAAUCGGCCAAGAUCGCGAUCUACUGAUACAUGCCAAUCAGAAGAAGAACGUCUGAAGAACGCCAGAGGAGGUGGAUCAAUGCGCACCAGGGAAAUGAGUUUCCUCGAGAAAUAGAUAAAUCCAGAUCAGGGUAGACGACUUCCUGAUCGAGGAAGAAAUCGGAAGAAACUGUAGAACAAGGCAGAGAAUACUACCUACCGGCCAAACCGGAAUAGGACUUGCCGAAGAGGUGCAAGCUAAUCUCCGCCGCCUUUGUCGGUGGCGCCGCCGCCGACGAUCCGGCGGCGCUGCGAAGAGCCGCUUCCGUCUCGCCGGAUUCCUUGCUCUGGAUCAACAACAGUAGAAGCAGAGACGAAGGGGGAGUAAACUGUAGCGGGAGCAUUACAACGUCCUCCACGUGGCAGAAGGCUAUAGGCUACUCCCAUGCCUCGGAAGAUCCCAGUGAGUUCAUCAAUAUGGGCCGGGCCUUCGGAAAGGCCCACCAGGCUUUGUACAAUUAGUCCAGCCCAUGGCUCACUAGCGUAAGGAGGAGAAUGCCUUCCCCGUCUGCCGUCUUCUUUUGC